rnacentral:rRNA from 1 species
GUUAAGUCCAGUAACGAGCGCACCCCUAUUCUAUUUGCCAGCACUUCGGUGGGAACUAUAAGGAGACCGCCGUGUAUAACACGGAGGAAGGCGGGGACGACGUCAAGUCAUCAUGGCCCUUACGGGUUGGGCUACACACGUGCUACAAUGGGAGAUACAGAUGGUUGCGAAAGCGCGAGCUGGAGCUAAUCCCAAAAAGUCUUCCUCAGUCCGGAUUGGAGUCUGCAACUCGACUCCAUGAAGCAGGAAUCGCUAGUAAUCGUGAAUCAGAAUGUCGCGGUGAAUACGUUCCCGGGCCUU